rnacentral:rRNA from 1 species
GGUUUCUUGUUUAUUUAAGAAAUUUAACCUGCCCAUUGAUUUAAAUUAAAAGGCCGCAGUAUAUUGACUGUGCAAAGGUAGCAUAAUCAUUAGUUUUUUAAUUAAAGGCUUGUAUGAAUGGUUGGACGAAGUAUUUACUGUCUUGUAAUGAUUAAUUGAAUUUGAAUUUUAAGUUAAAAUGCUUAAAUGUAAUUAAGGGACGAGAAGACCCUAUAGAAUUUAAUAAGUAUUAUAAUUAAAUGAAGUUAGUAAUAUAUUUUUUUUAUAUUUUUUUUAACUUAUUUAGUUGGGGUGAUUAAGAGAUAAAGAUAACUCUUUUUUUUUAUAAAUAUUUUUAAUUAAUUUAAAUAUCUAUAAUUUUGUAAUUAAAAGAUAAAAUUACCUUAGGGAUAACAGCAUAAUUUUUUUAAAAAGUUCAUAUUGAAAAGGAAGAUUAUGACCUCGAUGUUGGAUUAAGAUUAAAUUUGGGUGAAGAAGCUUAAUAUUGUAGGUCUGUUCGACCUUUAAAAUCUUACA